CAAGACCUUGCGCUAAAGGAGCGGCCGAUGUCUGAUUAGCUAGUUGGUGGGGUAAAGGCUUACCAAGGCAACGAUCAGUAGUUGGUCUGAGAGGACGGCCAACCACACUGGGARUGAGACACGGCCCAGACUCCUACGGGAGGCAGCAGUGGGGAAUUUUGGACAAUGGGCGAAAGCCUGAUCCAGCCAUGCCGCGUGAGUGAAGAAGGCCUUCGGGUUGUAAAGCUCUUUUAGUCGGAAAGAAAGAGUUGCAAUGAAUAAUUGUGAUUUAUGACGGUACCGACAGAAAAAG
rnacentral:rRNA from 1 species